AGUUGGUGAGGUAACGGCUCACCAAGGCGACGAUGGGUAGCCGGCCUGAGAGGGUGGUCGGCCACACUGGGACUGAGACACGGCCCAGACUUCUACGGGAAGCAGCAGUGGGGAAUAUUGCGCAAUGGGGGAAACCCUGACGCAGCGACGCCGCGUGAGCGAAGAAGGCCUUUCGGUUGUAAAGCUUUGUCUUCCCUGACGAAGAAAAUGACGGUAAGGGAGGAGGAAGCCACGGCUAACUACGUGCCAGCAGCCGCGGUAAUACGUAGGUGGCGAGCGUUGUCCGGAAUUACUGGGCGUAAAGGGUGCGUAGGCGGCUCCUUAAGUGAGGUGUGAAAUCCCUGGGCUCAACCCAGGAACUGCACUUCAAACUGGGGAGCUAGAGUGCAGGAGAGGAAAGCGGAAUUCCCGGUGUAGCGGUGAAAUGCGUAGAGAUCGGGAGGAACACCAGUGGCGAAAGCGGCUUCUGGACUGUAACUGACG
rnacentral:rRNA from 1 species